rnacentral:rRNA from 1 species
UACAGGGGGUGCAAACGUUGCUCGGAAUCAUUGGGCGUAAAGCGCACGUAGGCGGUUCGUUAUGUCGGAUGUGAAAGCCCUUGGCUUAACCGAGGAAGUGCAUCCGAAACUGGCGAGCUAGAGUACGAAAGAGGAUCGCGGAAUUCCCGGUGUAGCGGUGAAAUGCGCAGAUAGUCGGGAGGAACACCGGUGGCGAAGGCGGUUCUCUGGGCCUGACCUGACGCUGAGGAGCGAAAGCGUGGGUAGCGAACAGG